rnacentral:rRNA from 2 species
ACUUAAAUUGAAGAGUUUGAUCAUGGCUCAGAUUGAACGCUGGCGGCAGGCCUAACACAUGCAAGUCGAGCGGUAGCACAGAGAGCUUGCUCUCGGGUGACGAGCGGCGGACGGGUGAGUAAUGUCUGGGAAACUGCCUGAUGGAGGGGG